GGCGGACGGGUGAGUAAUGUCUGGGAAACUGCCUGAUGGAGGGGGAUAACUACUGGAAACGGUAGCUAAUACCGCAUAACGUCGCAAGACCAAAGAGGGGGACCUUCGGGCCUCUUGCCAUCAGAUGUGCCCAGAUGGGAUUAGCUAGUAGGUGGGGUAAUGGCUCACCUAGGCGACGAUCCCUAGCUGGUCUGAGAGGAUGACCAGCCACACUGGAACUGAGACACGGUCCAGACUCCUACGGGAGGCAGCAGUGGGGAAUAUUGCACAAUGGGCGCAAGCCUGAUGCAGCCAUGCCGCGUGUGUGAAGAAGGCCUUCGGGUUGUAAAGCACUUUCAGCGAGGAGGAAGGUGGUGAGCUUAAUACGCUCAUCAAUUGACGUUACUCGCAGAAGAAGCACCGGCUAACUCCGUGCCAGCAGCCGCGGUAAUACGGAGGGUGCAAGCGUUAAUCGGAAUUACUGGGCGUAAAGCGCACGCAGGCGGUUUGUUAAGUCAGAUGUGAAAUCCCCGGGCUCAACCUGGGAACUGCAUUUGAAACUGGCAAGCUAGAGUCUCGUAGAGGGGGGUAGAAUUCCAGGUGUAGCGGUGAAAUGCGUAGAGAUCUGGAGGAAUACCGGUGGCGAAGGCGGCCCC
rnacentral:rRNA from 1 species